ACGGGAGGCAGCAGUGGGGAAUAUUGGGCAAUGGGCGAAAGCCUGACCCAGCAACGCCGCGUGAAGGAAGAAGGUCUUCGGAUUGUAAACUUCUUUUAUGAGGGACGAAGGACGUGACGGUACCUCAUGAAUAAGCCACGGCUAACUACGUGCCAGCAGCCGCGGUAAUACGUAGGUGGCGAGCGUUAUCCGGAUUUACUGGGUGUAAAGGGCGCGUAGGCGGGGAUGCAAGUCAGAUGUGAAAUCUAUGGGCUUAACUCAUAAACUGCAUUUGAAACUGUAUCUCUUGAGUGCUGGAGAGGUAGAUGGAAUUCCUUGUGUAGCGGUGAAAUGCGUAGAUAUAAGGAAGAACACCAGUGGCGAAGGCGAUCUACUGGACAGUAACUGACGCUGAGGCGCGAAAGCGUGGGGAGCAAACAGGAUUAGAUACCCUGGUA
rnacentral:rRNA from 1 species